CCAUGAUUGCACCAUGAUUGCACUCCAGCCUGGGUGACAGAGCAAGACCCUAUCUCAAAAAAAAAAAACCCUAGUUUGGGGGCAAAUGGUUGGUUGUGGUAGUCAAGAUGCAUUGUUUAUGGGUGACUAACACUGAGGACUCAGAUUCUCACUUUGAGAAGAUGGAUGCUGGGGCUCAAGAUCCUGAAUUUGGGGUGCCUGGAGUUCCUCCUGCCCAGUUCUGGGCACGUGUGAGCCCUUGUUCCUGUUUUGGGACACCCAACACCCAGCUCUAGAUGUCUGCAGUUGUGUGGCUUCGUCACUGAGGCCGGGGAUGGGGGCUACUGACACCCACAUUAGUGACGACAGUGGGGGCCUACUGUCUAGAUUAGAAGUGACUUCCUGUGGCAUUUCACCUGUCAUGUUUGGGGUGAGUCAGUUCGGAGACUCAGGUGUCAAGUCUAGGGUGACUGGUUUUGAGGUUUAGCGGUGACCGAGGUUGGCAGCCCACAUGUUGAUUUGGGGGUCCUACUGAUUACCUUAGGGCUGACUGAAGUUUGGAGCUCACUUGCUUAGUCUGGGGGUCACUGAGCCUGGGUGCCCCAGGCCCUAGUUUUGGGGACAUCUGAGACUGGGAGGCUAUAUGCAAAGUGUGUGGGUGGGUGGCUGUGGAGCUCAGAUGCCUAUUUUGAGAGUGACUUGCUGUGGUUUUGCUGACCUUGAGG
rnacentral:lncRNA from 1 species